ACGUGCCAGCAGCCGCGGUAAUACGUAGGGUGCGAGCGUUAAUCGGAAUUACUGGGGCGUAAAGCGUGCGCAGGCGGUUCUAUAAGACAGAUGUGAAAUCCCCGGGCUUAACCUGGGGAACUGCGUUUGUGACUGUAGGACUCGAGUGUGGCAGAGGGGGGUGGAAUUCCACGUGUAGCAGUGAAAUGCGUAGAGAUGUGGAGGAACACCGAUGGCGAAGGCAGCCCCCUGGGUCAACACUGACGCUCAUGCACGAAAGCGUGGGGAGCAAACAGGAUUAGAUACCCUGGUAGUCCACGCCCUAAACGAUGCGAACUAGGUGUUGGGGAAGGAGACUUUCUUAGUACCGCAGCUAACGCGUGAAGUUCGCCGCCUAGGAGUACGGUCGCAAGAUUAAAACUCAAAGGAAUUGACGGGGAGU
rnacentral:rRNA from 1 species